GGGACGCUGCCUCAGCGUGGUUUGAUGAGCAGUGCCAUGUCCGUGCCCAGGAUUCCAACCAAGGAAACACUGGGCCGCCUGCAGCGAGCGCGCGAACUUAACCACUCCGCCACAGGGCCAGCCCUAAAUCAUUUUUGAAAAUCGUGAGUUACAUUUAGGUUUUACACACCUAUUCAGUUCAGUCUAACAGAUUUUUUCCGCAUUCUUCCUACUUUCAGUCUAGCACAGUGUUAGGAGCUAGAGAUAAGAGAAAACUAAUCCAUGAGAGAGGGCUAAUCCAGGAGAGAAGAUAAUCCAGGAGAAAGGGCGAUCCAGGAGAGAGGGCGAUCCAGGAGAGAGGGCGAUCCAGGAGAGAAGGUGAUCCAGGAGAGAGGGCGAUCCAGGAGAGAGGGUGAUCCAGGAGAGAGGGCGAUCCAGGAGAGAAGGUGAUCCAGGAGAGAGGGUGAUCCAGGAGAGAGGGCGAUCCAGGAAAGAGGGCGAUCCAGGAGAGAGGGCGAUCCAGGAGAGAGGGUGAUCCAGGAGAGCGAGUGAUCCAGGAGAGAGGGUGAUCCAGGAGAGAGGGUGAUCCAGGAGAGUGGGUGAUCCAGGAGAGAAGAUGAUCCAGGAGAGAGGGUGAUCCAGGAGAGAGGGCGAUCCAGGAGAGAGGGUGAUCCAGGAGAGAAGGUGAUCCAGGAGAGAAGAUGAUCCAGGAGAAAGAGGGAUCCAGUGUCCCGUUCU
rnacentral:lncRNA from 1 species